rnacentral:rRNA from 1 species
ACUCAAAGGAAUUGACGGGGGCUCACACAAGCGGUGGAGGAUGUGGCUUAAUUCGAGGCUACGCGAAGAACCUUAUCCUAGGUUUGACAUGCACGGAUUAACCCGGUGAAAGCCGGGCCACAGCUUCGGUUGGAACGUGCACAGGUGCUGCAUGGCUGUCGUCAGCUCGUGUCGUGAGAUGUCGGGUUAAGUCCCUUAACGAGCGAAACCCUUAUCUUUAGUUGCCAGCGAGUCAUGUCGGGGACUCUAAAGAGACUGCCGGUGUUAAACCGGAGGAAGGUGGGGAUGACGUCAAGUCCUCAUGGCCUUUAUGCCUAGGGCUGCACACGUCCUACAAUGGCGUGGACAAAGGGAAGCCAACUCGUGAGAGCGAGCAAAUCCCAAAAACCACGCCCCAGUUCGGAUUGCAGGCUGCAACUCGCCUGCAUGAAGCCGGAAUCGCUAGUAAUCGUGGGUCAGCAUACCACGGUGAAUAUGUUCCUGAGCCUUGCACACACCGCCCGU